CCUAAUUAGUAUAAUAUAUUACAAUCAACUUCCAAUUGAAAAAUCAAAUGAUUAGGA
rnacentral:tRNA from 1 species